GAGCUUGUUUAUUGUCUAGGUUAUGUUGUCGGUAUGUCGGUUCAUAAAGACGCCUGAUGUCGGGACGGUGAAGGCACGUCUACAAGAUAAUGUGGUGUAAACAGAUGGUAAACGUAAUUUCCGGACACAGAUGCGACUUGCAAGGGUCAAAAUCUUUAUAUUAUGAUCUCUAUGUGCAUGCGAAUAUCUUCAGCCGACUUGUAAAAUGUCCAAACAGCUCCAACUGCUACCUAAGAUGAUAACACGGACGAUAAAGGAAUGAAGGGUUAGUUG
rnacentral:lncRNA from 1 species